CCAAAGUCUUUAGCUUUAUCUUGCAUUUACUCAAACUCGCAUCACACACUUGUUCAUCACCUGAUUUGUUACUAAAUUGUUGAGCAGCCUUCUUCCAAAGCUCCCUCCUUUGUCAUCCACCAUGGCUGAAGCUAUUCUCUUCAACGGUACUGCAGGCAUCAUAUUCAAACUGGGCUCUUCCCUACUCCGAGAGCUUGGAUCGAUGUGGCGUGUCGAGGAUGACCUUGACAAACUCAAACACACUCUUUAUGACAUUCAAACUGUGCUUCAUGCCGCAGAGGAGCAGCAGUCCAAGAACAGUCAAGUGAAUGAUUGGGUUUUAAAGCUUAAGGAUGUUUUGUACGAGAUUGAUGAUUUGGUCGACAAGUCGUCUUACGAAACCUUGAGAAGGCAAGUUCUAGCCAAAGACCGAAGAAAGAGAACAAGUACGUACACUCUUCUCCAAAUUUAAGUCUAAUUGGAAAAUAUAUCACAGAAUCAAGGAAAUUAGGUAGAGGUUACAAGCUAUUAAUGAUGAUAAAAAUCAAUUUAGGUUUUGUAAGCAUGUGAUAGAGAAAAGAGAUGACGAAGGGUUGAGAAAGAGACGGGAGACUCACUCUUUUAUACCUGAAGAGGAAGUGAUUGGUAGGAGUAAUAACAAGGAAGCAGUCAUAGAUCUACUAAAUUCCAACACCAAAGAGAAUAUUGUCCUUGCUCAAUCUAUUUAUACCCAUCACAAUAUGACUAAGAAUGGGUUUCAAUUGAAGUUAUGGGUGUGUGUUUCCGACGAUUUUAAUCUGAAAGUUAUUAUCCAAAUGAUAAUAGAGUCUGCAACUAGGAAGUAGCCUGAAUCAUUCCUACAAAUAGAUCCAUUACAAAGUGAGCUUAGAAACCAAAUUGAUGGAAAGAAAUAUUUGCUUGUUAUGGAUGAUGUGUGGAAUGAGAAAAAAGAGGAAUGGUUACAUCUAAAAAGAUUUUGAUCACAACACGCAGUGAACAAGUUGCUAAAACUUUUGACUCUGCUUUCGUCCAUUCUUUAGGAAUUUUGGAUGUGCCCAAUUCUUGGUUAUUGUUUCAAAAGAUGAUAGGUUUGGAAGGACAUUCAGACAAUCAAGAGGAGCUUGAUGAAAAGAAUUCAAAUUUGGUCCAAAUCGGCAAGGAGAUUGUAUCAAGGUUAAACGGUGUUCCUCUCGUAAUAAGAACCAUUGGAGGACUUUUAAAAGAUAACAAAUCAGAAAGAUUUUGGUUGUCUUUUAAGGAUAAGGAACUUUGCCAAAUUUUGGAACAAGGAUAUAAUGAUCUAAAGGAAAUGCAAUUCAUUCUUGAGCUCAGCAAUAAAUAUCUCCCAGCUAAUUUGAAGCAAUAUUUUCUCUAUUGUGCUUUGUUCCCCAAAGAUCAUGAAAAUCAAAAGGAUGAACUUAUAAUACGAUGGAGAGCACAAGGUUUCAUUCAAUCAAAUGGCAAUAAGGACGAUAACCUCAUUGAUAUUGGUGAUGAUUAUUUCAUGGAGUUAUUAUCAAGGUCAUUCUUUCAAGAGGUUGAAAAUAAUUUGGGAGACAAAAGCAUGUAAGGCGCACGAUUUAUUGCAUGAUAUGGCUUGUUCGAUAACGAAUAAUGAAUGUGUGCAUGGAUUGAUCGGAAAUGUCAUCGACAAAAGAACUCAUCACUUUUCAUUGGAAGAAAAUUGUCAUGAAAAUCAACUUAUGGAACCAUUAUCUAAAGUGACAUAUUUGAGGACAUUUUUUAUUCAAAAGGGUGUAGUUUCCCUAUUGAACUUGGAAGAAAUCUUUCAUAAUAUUUCUCGAUUGCGAGCAUUGGACUUAACUUUGGAUCUUAAAAUCCCAAAUGCAAAACAUUUGGAGUUUAUUGGUAAAUUGAAGCAUUUGAGAUAUUUGAGUAUCGUGGGUUUGAGAAUUAAAUAUCUUCCAGAUUCUAUUACGAAGUUGUAUAGUUUAGAAACAUUUAUCUUUAAAUGCUUGAAUCAUUUAUUAUUAUCCAGUGAUGUAGGAAACUUGAUCAAUCUUAAGCAUUUGGAUCUUUCAGAUAAUUUUGUAUUAGAAUCUCUUCCCGAUUCUAUUAUUGAAUUGUGUAAGUUGGAAGCACUUAUCCUUAAAAACGUAGCAAGUUAAUAGAACUUCCAAAAGAUGUAAAAGAUUGGAGCAACCUUGGGCAACUUGAUCUUACAGACAAUUCAAGAAUAGAAUUCCUUCUUGACUUUAUUACUCAAUUAAAUAAUUUGAAAACACUUAUCUUUUUUCAGUGUAGAAAUUUAAAAGAAUUUCCGGAAGAUACUAAAAGAUUGAUCAACCUUAAGCAUCUUGAUUUGAGAGAAUGUUUUAGUCUCACUCAUAUGCCAGAAGGGUUAGGUGAGCUAACUAAUCUUCAAACAAUAAAUCAGUUUGUGUUAGAAAAGAAUAAAGGCUGUGAAUUAAAGGAGUUGGGUGGACUUAUCAAGUUGAAAGGAAUAUUAAGUAUUCAAGGAUUGAAAUUUUGUACAAGUAUUGAUGGAGAAACGAAGGGUAAAUUCUUGCAACUAACGUCAGGUCUUCAAGAGUUGAAAUUAGAUUGGUGGAAUCAAGGUGCACAUAAUGAACUUACAAGUUUAGAGUUGGACGAUGUGGUCUACGAAAGUGUUUUAGAUUGCUUACAACCACAUUCAAAUCUUCAAAAGAUAUCUAUUCGGUGGAUUGAAGUUAUGUAAUUGGAUAUCCUCUAAUUUCCUUGGUUGUCUUAGUCACUAUAUGUUUUUAUUAUUGUAAUAGAUUGCAACAUCUCCCCCGAUUCGAUCAAUUUCCUAGUCUCAAGCAUCUUGAACUUGGUUACUUACCCAACGUCGAGUACAUUAUUGAUGUCAACAAUGAUGAUUAUGUUUCUUCAUCAACAUUUUUUCCAUCCCUCGAGGAAUUACGGAUUUCGAAGAUGCCUAAGUUGGUGAGAUGGUGCAAGGGUACAACUCCUAUAAUAUUUCCUUACCCUUUUGAAUUAACUAUUAAUGAUUCUUCUCCUCUGCAUGUGUUGAAGUUUUUCCAUGCACCUAAUUUGAAGGCAUUGCGAAUUGGUCUGUCAGAUGAUGAGUUGGAUGUUGUACCAUGGAAAGAUUAUGAAAACCUCACCUCUCUACAUCUUGUCUUUGUGAGUAAUUUGGAGUACUUGCCCGAGUGUUGGCAACAUUAUAUGAAACCUCUUCAACAUCUUUCUUUAGAUUCUUGUGAAAAUUUGAAGAGCCUACCAGAAUGGAUUGGUAACCUCACCUCACUCACAGAAUUAUAUAUUCGUAAUUGUGAAAAGCUAACUUCGCUACCACAUGGAAUUGGCAACCUCAACUCAUUCACACGAUUGGGGAUUGAUUCUUGUCGAAAUCUAGCUUCGCUACCAGAAGGGAUUCGACACAUCCCUAAUUUAAAAUGCUUAGACAUUGUCGAAUGUCCCAUAUUGGAAAAAAGCUGCAAGGAAGACACCGGAGAAGAUUGGCCUAAGAUUGCCCAUAUCCCCGACCUACGAAUUUACUACACUCAUUAUUGACUUCCAAAAAGGCUACAACUGUAUAUGAAGUAUAUAUGUCAUAUAUGCACCAUCAUACCAUACAUGUACUUUGCACCUUGCUUAAAUAGUGAGGAGAAUAGCAGCUGCUUGUGGAGGGACGAAUUAAAGAGAAUUAUCCAAAAUAAAAUUUAAUGAAAGAGUGCAGUUUAAGCUAUGGAAGACUUUCAUUCUGAAGAAGUGUAAGCUCUUCUUUUGGUCAGCUCUCUAUGGUGAGGUGAACACUGCUGAUAAGGUCCAAACAAUAAAUUCCAAUAUUUCUCUUUGUGGAAUGAAUUUCUUUUGGGUUUGGGAUAUGUUGAGGGUACUAAAUAUAUGUCAACCUAGUUGAAAUAUUCGGGUGCACCUCCCUAUCCUUCUUUAUAUAUCCUCCAAUUUCUUGCUAAAAAAAAGAGAUACAUUAGUUGUUUUUGUGUACAUGUUAUUAUUGAUAGUGGAGAUUUUGGCUACGGUCACGUGAUUUUUUACUCCUCAAUUUAAGGAGGUUUUCCACGUUAAAA